GAUGAACGCUAGCGACAGGCCUAACACAUGCAAGUCGAGGGGCAGCACAAGGAGCAAUCUAAGGUGGCGACCGGCGCACGGGUGAGUAACACGUAUGCAACCUGCCUGUAAGAGGGGAAUAACCCGGAGAAAUUCGGACUAAUACCGCAUAAUACCACGAGACUGCAUGGUUUUGUGGUUAAACAUUUAUGGCUUACAGAUGGGCAUGCGUAUGAUUAGCUAGUAGGUGAGGUAACGGCUCACCUAGGCAACGAUCAUUAGGGGUUCUGAGAGGAAGGUCCCCCACACUGGUACUGAGACACGGACCAGACUCCUACGGGAGGCAGCAGUGAGGAAUAUUGGUCAAUGGGCGAGAGCCUGAACCAGCCAAGUCGCGUGAAGGAAGAAGGUUCUAUGGAUUGUAAACUUCUUUUUUCUGGGGCGAAAACCGGUUUUUCUAAACCAUUUGACAGUACCAGAAGAAUAAGCACCGGCUAACUCCGUGCCAGCAGCCGCAGUAAGAC
rnacentral:rRNA from 1 species